rnacentral:sRNA from 1 species
GCAUUCUACCAGGCGGGCCCCGUUGGCCGUU